CACGUAGGGCGCGAGCGUUGUCCGGAAUUACUGGGCGUAAAGCGCGCGCAGGCGGUCUUCCAAGUCAGUGGUGAAAGCCCGGAGCUCAACUCCGGAACUGCCAUUGAAACUGUGAGACUAGAGUACGAGAGAGGUGAGUGGAAUUCCCAGUGUAGAGGUGAAAUUCGUAGAUAUUGGGGAAGAACACCGGUGGCGAAGGCGGCUCACUGGCUCGUUACUGACGCUCAGGCGCGACAGCGUGGGGGAUCAAAACAGG
rnacentral:rRNA from 1 species